AUUGAACGCUGGCGGCAGGCCUAACACAUGCAAGUCGAGCGGAGCGGCGGACGGGCGAGUAAUUCCUAGGAAUCUGACUGGUAGUGGGGGAUAACGUCCGGAAACGGGCGCUAAUACCUCAUACAAUCCGCUGAGCCUAGGUCGGAUUAGCUAGUUGGUGGGGUAAAUGCCUACCAAGGCGACGAUCCGUAACUGGUUUGAGAGGAUGAUCAGUCACACUGGAACUGAGACACGGUCCAGACUCCUACGGGAGGCAGCAGUGGGGAAUAUUGGACAAUGGGCGAAAGCCUGAUCCAGCCAUGCCGCGUGUGUGAAGAAGGUCUUCGGAUUGUAAAGCACUUUAAGUUGGGAGGCGUUACCAACAGAAUAAGCACCGGCUAACUCCGUGCCAGCAGCCGCGGUAAUAC
rnacentral:rRNA from 1 species